rnacentral:rRNA from 1 species
CCCUUAGAUGGUCUGGGCGGCACGCGCGCUACAAUGAUGCAUUCAAAAAGUCUUCUGACCUUAGAAGGUUGGGUAUUCUCCAAAGUGCAUCGUGAUGGGAAUAGUUUAUUGCAAUUUUUAAUCUUGAACGAGGAAUUCCUAGUAAGUACAGGUCAUCAACUUGUGUUGAUUACGUCCCUGCCCUUUGUACACAUCGCCCGUCGCUCCUACUGAUUGAGUGUCUCGGUGAAUUCUUUGAUCUUCUGUCGAUUCAGUUCACUGAUCCGACGGUGGAAAGUUGAAUGAACUUCGUCACUUAGAGGAAGGAGAAGUCGUAACA